GCCACACCCCCUCGCCCCACCCCUUUACCCCCCUCACCCCGCCCCUCCCCCCGCUGCUUCUUCCGCUGAGGCCGGGGCGAGUGGAGGCGGCGCUGUGCAUUGUGGGUGGCGAGCGGCCGAUUUGGAUUCCCGCUCACGGCCACCGUCGGUGGCUCGCGAGCUUCUGAAGCGGCGGCUCGCUGGCUGGGCCACCUCUACGUCGACUCAGCCCGAAGAAGGCGAGAAGCUUGCACGCACAACAACAAGAAGCAGGAGGAGGAAGGUUCGUCUCCCAAGCCGAGCGCUUCUGGGUCCACCUUCAUGAUCCUCCCUCUGCCCCAGGGUGGAAAGAUCCCCUCGCACAGGGUUACGGCCGGGGCGAGUGGAGGCUGCGCUGUGCAUUGUGGGUGGCGAGAGGCUGAUUUGGAUUCCCUCUCACGGUCACCGUCGGUGGCUCGCGAGCUUCUGAAGUGGUGGCUCGUUGGCUGGGCCUCCUCUACGUCGACUCAGCCAGAAGGUGGUGCAGGUUCAGGAGUUUUCUGGCUGCACUCCGACCUUUGGCCUUGGCUGUCGCCCAAGUGGGAUUGUCGCACAGCAGGCAACCCAUAGCAUCAGUAUCUGUCCCAUGACCUCCUCUUGCACCUAGCCUGGCACAGCAAUCAACCCAUGGCACCUGGGUUGUUGUGAUGACAUCACCGUCAUGUAGUGGCAAAUUACGGCUGUUGUCAUCGUGAGUUUGUAGGCUUGUGUGUGAGUAAUGGUGCAUGUGUGACUUUCAUGACGUGUGUGAGAGUAGGAUGGUAGGGGUGUGUUUUUGAGGGUAUGUGAGUGUGUGAGUAUCAU